CAUGUCCUCCCACUACAUCGCACCAAAAGAAGGGCCUGUAACCACCCGCCAGAUCCGCACAAUCUUCGAGGAAGUGCAGGAUGGGAAGGUGAUCUCCUCCCGAGAGCAGAUCACCCAGGCUGCCCACUGAGCCCUCGGAGCCCACUGAGCCUGGUUUGCUGCAAACCUCACCUGGCACAGCAAAGCAGAUCCCAGCUGACAUGCUCUGGCCCUGUGUGCCAUGAAAAGCACCUUCUCCCUCUCUCACCCCCCUCCUUCCCCUCCCUCACCCUUCUCUCAGCGCUGUGCCACGCACAGAAAUCAAAUAAAGCUUCUCCUCACACUCCUGCAAA